AUCCCUACAACGUGUCCAUUUACAUGCAGGAUGGGGUACAGGUGGGCAGAGCAGCCACUCACACAGCACAGCUGAGCCCAUCCAGCUCCCCUAUAUAGGGUUGGGCUCAGGAAGGCUUCUCCUUUUUGUUUGGGGUUUGGGCAGAGGGGGAAGGGAAGAGCAGUAGUAUUCACCAGGCUGCUGGUAUGCAGCUGGCAGUACCUGUAAAGCGAGGGAAGAUCAUACGGAAGCGUUACAGAGGUUUCUGCAUGGUGAUGCCCGAGAGGAGCCCUCAGCAUCACUGCGGGGAGCUGGGGAUGCUGCAUUGGGGAGCGGGGUCACACUGCCCUCAAUGCUCUGCCCUGGGCCAGGGGGCACCGGGAAGAGGGGGUGCCAGGCGUGCAGGAGUGGUGGUCCCAGUGCUCUCCGUGCUUCUCCCAAGGAUGCUCCUGGCCUCUGGGCAGCUCUGAAACCUCCCUUUUGGCUUAGAAAAUCAAACAAAAAACCCACAGGUGCUCUAACAGCUGUUCAUCUGCACACCAGGGGUGAGCUGGGGUGGGGAAAAGCAGGCUGCAACCCCAAAAGUUUGGUGCUCCCUGAGGUGAUGCAGCUCCUGGGGAUGGAAGAAUCACUCUGACCCCCGUUGCCUUACUGGGAACUGCACAUUUUCCCAACCCACACCUUACUGGGGUCCCCAUCGCAGCGCUGG
rnacentral:lncRNA from 1 species